AACCUAGCACACCUGCGGUGUGUACCUGCGGAAGGAUCAUUACUGAAUGGCCAAAUGGCCUUCAACCUUCAAACCUGUGGAAGCAAAAUGUGCUUCGGCGCUCCGGCGUCGCAUUUAUGCAGAAUAGUUUAUGUCUGAAUCAAUACAAAACAUUAAAACUUUUAACAACGGAUCU
rnacentral:misc_RNA from 1 species